UCUUCAUAACCUAGCCGCCAUUAUUUUCCUCUGCAAUUUUAUAAUUUCAGCCUCUUAUUUUCUUCAACAUCCGACAAUUUAUUCUUCUACGCCUUGAGUUUGGUUGGGUGAAGGGAACUCAUCACUCCAAAGCGCCUCUCCACGCCGCUUUCUCUCCUCACGAUCGGCGCUCCUCACCGCCGUCGAAUCGCCAUCGCACGCACAGACGACUCUCCUGCAUAUCCCCCUCUAAAAUUGGCAAAAGAGAAUGAAAGUCAAGAUUAUACGUAUCC